CCGCCUGGGGAGUACGGCCGCAAGGUUAAAACUCAAAUGAAUUGACGGGGGCCCGCACAAGCGGUGGAGCAUGUGGUUUAAUUCGAUGCAACGCGAAGAACCUUACCUGGUCUUGACAUCCACAGAACUUUCCAGAGAUGGAUUGGUGCCUUCGGGAACUGUGAGACAGGUGCUGCAUGGCUGUCGUCAGCUCGUGUUGUGAAAUGUUGGGUUAAGUCCCGCAACGAGCGCAACCCUUAUCCUUUGUUGCCAGCGAU
rnacentral:rRNA from 4 species